rnacentral:misc_RNA from 1 species
GAUGAAGAACGUAGCGAAAUGCGAUAAGUAGUGUGAAUUGCAGAAUUCAGUGAAUCAUCGAAUCUUUGAACGCACAUUGCGCCCAUUAGUAUUCUAGUGGGCAUGCCUGUUCGAGCGUCAUUUCAACCCUUAAGCCUAGCUUAGUAUUGGGAAUCGACUUUACUGUCGUUCCUCAAAUUCAACGGCGGAUUUAUAGCAAUCUCUGAACGUAGUAAUUUUUUUUCUCGUUUUUGAAAUACUAUAAACCUCAGCCGCUAAACCCCCAAUUUCUUAUGGUUGACCUCGGAUCAGGUAGGAAUACCCGCUGAACUUAAGCAUAUCAAUAAGCGGAGGA